CACGUCGGGUGCGAGCGUUGUCCGGAAUUAUUGGGCGUAAAGAGCUCGUAGGCGGUGUGUCGCGUCGGCCGUGAAAACCUGCAGCUUAACUGUGGGCGUGCGGUCGAUACGGGCAGGCUGGAGUUCGGUAGGGGAGACUGGAAUUCCUGGUGUAGCGGUGAAAUGCGCAGAUAUCAGGAGGAACACCGGUGGCGAAGGCGGGUCUCUGGGCCGAUACUGACGCUGAGGAGCGAAAGCGUGGGGAGCGAACAGG
rnacentral:rRNA from 1 species